ACGUUAGCGUGCGGAGGGGUGAGUAACACGUGGAUAACCUACCUAUAAGACUGGGAUAACUUCGGGAAACCGGAGCUAAUACCGGAUAACAUAUUGAACCGCAUGGUUCAAUAGUGAAAGGCGGCUUUGCUGUCACUUAUAGAUGGAUCCGCGCCGUAUUAGCUAGUUGGUAAGGUAACGGCUUACCAAGGCAACGAUACGUAGCCGACCUGAGAGGGUGAUCGGCCACACUGGAACUGAGACACGGUCCAGACUCCUACGGGAGGCAGCAGUAGGGAAUCUUCCGCAAUGGGCGAAAGCCUGACGGAGCAACGCCGCGUGAGUGAUGAAGGUCUUCGGAUCGUAAAACUCUGUUAUCAGGGAAGAACAAAUGUGUAAGUAACUGUGCACAUCUUGACGGUACCUGAUCAGAAAGCCACGGCUAACUACGUGCCAGCAGCCGCGGUAAUACGUAGGUGGCAAGCGUUAUCCGGAAUUAUUGGGCGUAAAGCGCGCGUAGGCGGUUUUUUAAGUCUGAUGUGAAAGCCCACGGCUCAACCGUGGAGGGUCAUUGGAAACUGGAAAACUUGAGUGCAGAAGAGGAAAGUGGAAUUCCAUGUGUAGCGGUGAAAUGCGCAGAGAUAUGGAGGAACACCAGUGGCGAAGGCGACUUUCUGGUCUGUAACUGACGCUGAUGUGCGAAAGCGUGGGGAUCAAACAGGAUUAGAUACCCUGGUAGUCCACGCCGUAAACGAUGAGUGCUAAGUGUUAGGGGGUUUCCGCCCCUUAGUGCUGCAGCUAACGCAUUAAGCACUCCG
rnacentral:rRNA from 1 species